rnacentral:rRNA from 1 species
AGAUUGAACGCUGGCGGCAUGCCUUACACAUGCAAGUCGAACGGCAGCACGGGAGCAAUCCUGGUGGCGAGUGGCGAACGGGUGAGUAAUAUAUCGGAACGUGCCCAGUCGUGGGGGAUAACGCAGCGAAAGCUGUGCUAAUACCGCAUACGAUCUAUGGAUGAAAGGCGGGGAUCGCAAGACCUCGCGCGAUUGGAGCGGCCGAUAUCAGAUUAGCUAGUUGGUAGGGGUAAAAGCCUACCAAGGCGACGAUCUGUAGCUGGUCUGAGAGGACGACAGCCACA